rnacentral:rRNA from 1 species
UUAGCGGCGNGACGGGUGAGUAACACGUGGGUAACCUGCCCAUAAGACUGGGAUAACUCCGGGAAACCGGGGCUAAUACCGGAUAACAUUUUGAACCGCAUGGUUCGAAAUUGAAAGGCGGCUUCGGCUGUCACUUAUGGAUGGACCCGCGUCGCAUUAGCUAGUUGGUGAGGUAACGGCUCACCAAGGCAACGAUGCGUAGCCGACCUGAGAGGGUGAUCGGCCACACUGGGACUGAGACACGGGCCAGACUCCUACGGGAGGCAGCAGUAGGGAAUCUUCCGCAAUGGACGAAAGUCUGACGGAGCAACGCCGCGUGAGUGAUGAAGGCUUUCGGGUCGUAAAACUCUGUUGUUAGGGAAGAACAAGUGCUAGUUGAAUAAGCUGGCACCUUGACGGUACCUAACCAGAAAGCCACGGCUAACUACGUGCCAGCAGCCGCGGUAAUACGUAGGUGGCAAGCGUUAUCCGGAAUUAUUGGGCGUAAAGCGCGCGCAGGUGGUUUCUUAAGUCUGAUGUGAAAGCCCACGGCUCAACCGUGGAGGGUCAUUGGAAACUGGGAGACUUGAGUGCAGAAGAGGAAAGUGGAAUUCCAUGUGUAGCGGUGAAAUGCGUAGAGAUAUGGAGGAACACCAGUGGCGAAGGCGACUNUCUGGUCUGUAACUGACACUGAGGCGCGAAAGCGUGGGGAGCAAACAGGAUUAGAUACCCUGGUAGUCCACGCCGUAAACGAUGAGUGCUAAGUGUUAGAGGGUUUCCGCCUUUANGUGCUGAAGUUAACGCAUUAAGCACUUCCGCCUGGG